rnacentral:lncRNA from 10 species
GGAAAGCUGUAGACUCCUCAAAAAAACAAACAAAAUUUUGCACAUAAUCUCAGGUAUUUGCCUAUUCCUUGAAAUCCAAAUAUCUCAGGGUAAAAGUCUAAAGACAUUUAAUGUUUUCAGUCCAAAUUAACCCUCUGUAGCUUGCCACUUUUCCUAUUCUAAAAGUAUAAUUUCCAGGUUAAGGUGAGUAUUUUGUACUGUUAAUAUUCCAGAACCUCGGCCGGGCGCGGUGGCUCAUGCCUGUAAUCUCAGCACUUUGGGAGGCCGAGGCGGGCGGAUCACGAGGUCAGGAGAUCGAGACCAUCCUGGCUAACACGGUGAAACCCCGACUCUACUAAAAAUACAAAAAACUUAGCCAGGCGUGGUGGCAGGCGCCUGUAGUCCCAGCUAUUCGGGAGGCUGAGGCAGGAGAAUGGCGUGAACCCGGGAGGCGGAGCUUGCAGUGAGCCGAGAUCGCGCCACUGUACUCCGGCCUGGGCGACAGAGCGAGACUCCGUCUCAAAUAAAAUAAAAUAAAAUAAAUUCUAGACUCACCCCAUCUUUGUCAUCAUACAGAUUUUAAUUAUCACCUCGAGUGUUAACCUUUUAAUUCUUUGCUAGCCUAUGUGUCGCAGUUGUAAUUAAUAAUUCGUAUUCUGCUGUUUUAGGAAAGUUCUUUUAAGUUUUGGAGUCACCUUUAAAAAGAAUGAAGUUUGAAUUUAUUAAAUUAUCUCCUA